rnacentral:lncRNA from 1 species
CGGUAAGUCUCUAAUCAAAUGGCUAAAUCAAAUGAUAAAACACAUAUAACAAAUGGACAACAACUGUCAUAUUCUUGACUUUGUACAGAAAUGUUCAAAUGUUGGAAAUGGUGGAUUGAACCUGGUUUUGUAGAGCUAAACCUCUUACUUGUAUGACAGUCACAUCAAAUUCCAUUAUAUUUGCAACGAUGCGUUAACAAAACAGAUAUAAUUGGUAAAAUUGUGAAAAUAGAGAUACUACAAUCAAC